UACACUCCUGCGGGAGGCAGCAGUGGGGAAUUUUGGACAAUGGGCGAAAGCCUGAUCCAGCAAUGCCGCGUGUGUGAAGAAGGCCUUCGGGUUGUAAAGCACUUUUGUCCGGAAAGAAAUCCUUGGCUCUAAUACAGUCGGGGGAUGACGGUACCGGAAGAAUAAGCACCGGCUAACUACGUGCCAGCAGCCGCGGUAAUACGUAGGGUGCGAGCGUUAAUCGGAAUUACUGGGCGUAAAGCGUGCGCAGGCGGUUUGCUAAGACCGAUGUGAAAUCCCCGGGCUCAACCUGGGAACUGCAUUGGUGACUGGCAGGCUAGAGUAUGGCAGAGGGGGGUAGAAUUCCACGUGUAGCAGUGAAAUGCGUAGAGAUGUUGAGGAAUACCGAUGGCGAAGGCAGCCCCCUGGGCCAAUACUGACGCUCAUGCACGAAAGCGUGGGGAGCAAACAGGAUUAGAAACCCCAGUAGUCCCAUGAU
rnacentral:rRNA from 1 species